GACGUAGGGCGCGAGCGUUGUCCGGAUUUAUUGGGCGUAAAGAGCGUGUAGGCGGUUUGGUAGGUCCGCUGUGAAAACCCGCAGCUCAACUGUGGGCUUGCAGCUGAUACGGGCAGGCUUGAGUUCGGUAGGGGAGACUGGAAUUCCUGGUGUAGCGGUGAAAUGCGCAGAUAUCAGGAGGAACACCGGUGGCGAAGGCGGGUCUCUGGGCCGAUACUGACGCUGAGGAGCGAAAGCGUGGGGAGCGAACAGG
rnacentral:rRNA from 1 species